CAGCCCUUGACAUGCCUCGUAUGGGCCUGAGAGAUCAGGUCCUUCAGUUCGGCUGGCGGGGACACAGGUGCUGCAUGGCUGUCGUCAGCUCGUGUCGUGAGAUGUUGGGUUAAGUCCCGCAACGAGCGCAACCCUUGUCCUUAGUUGCCAUCAUUUAGUUGGGAACUCUAAGGAGACCGCCGGCGACAAGCCGGAGGAAGGUGGGGAUGACGUCAAGUCCUCAUGGCCCUUACACCCUGGGCUACACACGUGCUACAAUGGCGGUGACAGUGGGCAGCUACUUCGCGAGAAGCGGCUAAUCCCAAAAAACCGUCCCAGUUCAGAUUGUACUCUGCAACUCGAGUACAUGAAGGUGGAAUCGCUAGUAAUCGCAGAACAGCAGGCUGCGGUGAAUACGUUCCC
rnacentral:rRNA from 1 species